ACAUUAGCCUUUCACUCAUGACAUGGAGACUCUGGUCAUGUGAUUUCAGAAAAACAACUCUGAAAGACUGAAAGCUGAGAGACAGACUGAGCACGCUCAGUUGCUGCUUCACCUGCACCGCCUCACACAGCUGACACACACACAGUUCUGAUGCCUUCAGUGAUAAUCUACAAUGGAAAUAGUCAUGAAGAUAAAGGAAACGCAUUGAAUGAGAAGUCUGAUAUAAAGUCAUCUUCUUCAUCGCACUGAAAAGGAGAUCUCAACAUGUCAGGAGGACCAGGAGACCUGAAGAUGGAUGUGAUUCUGAGAGGAAGCCGGACUGGAAACCUUCCUCAUCUGUAUGACCUGAUGAACAUGACUGAGUUCAGAAGGCUGCAGGAGCAAAGAGAUGACGCCAGAGCACGAUAUAAUGCUGGAGUGGUAGGAGCAGUAGCAGGAGGAGUAGGAGCAGCAGUAGCAAUAGCACUCCUGUUCCUUACAUCUCUCUUCACUGGGGGGGCUAGUUUAGCAAUAGGAGUGUUAGCAGUAGUAGCAGCAGGAGCUGCAGGAAGAGCUGUAGUAGCAGGAGUAGGAGCAGCAGAUCAAGCAGUAGCCGGAGCAGUAGCAGGAGGAGUAGGAGCUCUAGUAGGAAUAGCACUCAAGGCACUCCUGGUCCUUGCAGCUCCAUACACUGGGGUGGGAGUGGGGGGUGAUUUAACAGCAGUAGGAGCAUCAGUAGUAGCAGCAGGAGCUGUAGCAGGAAUGUUAGCAUUAGCCAGAGGAAGAUAAGCUGUGGUUGUAAAUGCA